AUGUGUUGCAAAGCAGGCAUGAACCACUCAUUGUUUGUGGUCUCUCAUGAGGAGAGCCCAGGCAUGUGGGAUGCCACCAGCAACACUGGGUUGGUGUCGCAAGUAUUAUUUGUUCUACAGUUUAAGUGUGUAAGAGAAGACAAGCAGAAAGUUCAAUGGAGGGAAAAUAUUGCUGUGGUGGGGAGGGACGGUGGUUACUUGGUUUGGCUUUCAGUUGUCCCUUUAAACAAAAUUCCACUAAUCUUUAUAAAUCAUGGUGGAGAUGGCAGUGCAGAGAUAAAGAGCUCUGCGUGGUGCUCAUGCUCGUCCCGGCCUAGCAAGUGGCAGAAAAGCAAAGAGGCUGCUUCCCUUGCAGUGAGAUGGAAAUAUCUCCUUUGUUUCAACCCAGUCCAGCUUCCCCCAAGCAGCUCUGAGGAGGCAGCUACUUUCCUACAAGCACUUGCUCCUUGCUGGCAGCAGGGGAUUGUUUAAACUUUUGCACAAAGCUGGUAAGUUUUGUUCAGGUGCCUAAAAUAAGUUCCAGAGGGAACCUUAGCACGUUGAUAAAAAUAUGUCCCUUUAUCCUGCAGCAGUGGCCUCUCUGAAGAGCGUCCUUGUAGUUUCCUGUCUCUGCUUCCUUCCCUCUCUCUAACUUUUUGUUUUGUUUGGAGUGGGGGGGUUGCCUUAUUUUUUCCUGCAAGGGGAAUUAUUCCAUGGGGCUGGAUCAUGUUAAUGCAUUACAGAGGCAAGGGAGGCUUUGAAAGAUGCUUGUCCCAAGCUGGAAUUCUGUCAAAACUGGCUGGAUGUUUGGUGCUUGCUAGUUGUAGCCCCUUUCCUUUCACCUGUACCACAGCUUCUUCCUGAUCCCAAAAAUAUCCCGAAUUAGAGUCUCUGGUAUUACGCAGGAAUUCCCUUCCUUCUGUGCUGGGGCUGAUUAAAAUCUCUCAUUACCUUUACCUUCUAAUGUCAGUACUUUAUGCAAAACCAUUUCCUAGUAAGAAAAGUUCAGGGCAACUCAGCCCUGAAGUGUUACCUGUGCAGAAGUGAAACCUCUGGUCUUCAUUAGACAUUCCCCAAACCAUUUCUGGGCAGUAGGAAUGGGACAGUGUGAUGACAGAUGAGUUGGCUUAUUCUGCUUCUUUCUCCCAACACGGGCAGUUGUCCUGGGCAGAGAAGUAAGCUCUCAAGCUGCCUUAUCUUCUACAAAGCUGACUGGUCCUGCAGCUUGGCACAGGUACAGGUGUGACCCAUGUGCUGCCUUGAAUUAAUUUUCUCCAGGCUAUGAGUGUGGUUUGUACUGGGAAUACCCUGUUCUUGCUAGAAAAUCACCUCCUGGGGAAAUUUGUCCUUGGUAAAGCAUGUGGGAGAUGAUGUGAUGAGGGGGUGUUAUCAGCACAACCUUUGGGGUGUGUGGUGAGUCAACACACAGCCCUCAUCUGCUCCACCCCAGAGCAAUGCAGGAGAGAAGCAGAAGGGCAAAAGUGAGAAAAUCUGUGGACUGAGAUAAAGAUAGUUCAAUAGGUACAGCAAAAGUUGUGUGCACCAGCAAAGCAAAAUAAGGAAUUCAUUACUGCUUCCCACAGGCCGGCAGGUGCUCAGCCAUUUCUGGGAGAGCCAGAACAGUUACUUCAUCGUGCAUAACUCUUAUUUGUGAAGACAGACAUCAUAACUCCUCCUUUCUCCCAGUUUUAUUGCUGAGCCUUUGGCACACGGUGUGGGCUCUCCAUUUGGUCAGCUGGGGUCAGCAGUCUGUGCUCUCCCCUCCCACUGCCUUGUGCACCCCCAGCCUGCUCACUGUGGGAAACAGAGCUGCCCUUCGUGCUGUGUAGGCAACAGCUAAAACACCCCUGCCUUAUCAGCUCUGUUUUGGUCCCAGAUCCAAAACACAGCACCACACCAGCUACUGGAGAGAAAAUGAGCUCUGUCCUGCCCCCAGCCAGAUCUGUGUCUUUUUGUUGUGCUUUGCAUGGGACUGGCCGCAGCAGAUGAGGAGUGGAAGCACAGCACAGCUCAGGAGGGGCAAAAGCUCCUCUGAGCCCAGCUGGGCACCAGAGGAACUGGGUGGGUGGCAGCAGGGGCUGCUGUGGGGUGGCACCCACUUACUGGACAGAGCCCAGUUAGAGAGUAGAAACUGAGGGUUUUCCUGAACACUUCUGGGGAGAUCUGAAAGGACGUGGCAUACAACCCUGAAAGGAGAGAGGAGUCUUGGUCAUCUGCUCCAUCUCCAGGGAGUUGUUGACUGGGACCUUUAAACCCCCUGCUGAGCAGGAUGGAAGAGAUCAGUACUGCACUGGGAGCUGGUGCUUGCUUUUCACCACUUCAGGAGAGGUUGUAGCAGCUGUCACUGCCUGACUGUGCCAGAGCUGUUGCAGGCCCCUUUUCAGCCCUAUGGAUCAGGAGACCAGUUUUUUAAUCACGAAGAGGUUUUCUUCUGCGUCUCAUCAUGAAUUGAUGCAAUAGAUCUGUAACUGUCCCAAGCAGCUGCUGCUGUGCCUGGCUUUCUGUGCAGAUUUGGGCUCUGAAACAAAAGGAUGGGGAUAGAAAAGAAGCUAAAAACUCUGGUUUGCUGAAGUAGCACCAAGUCAACACGGCAGCUGCAUUUCAGCCUGGAUUAUUAUUUAGAGCCAUUUGUAUUCAGGAUUCUCUUACAGCAGCUCAAACCUGGAGCUUGACCUGCGUUCAGGUGUGUAUGUACCAAUUAGUUUGUAUUAGGCUUAACUACGGAGAAGGUCAUACAAUGGUCUUGGUGCAGGAAAGGCUGAAUCAAUGUGAAAUGCAGGUUGUUCCUCUAAGGAUUCAGGAAUGGAAACCUUACCUCCACCACCACCACACCCACUUUCAGAACUUGCACAUCACAAAGAAGUUGUGAAAUACCUUUGUGGUGGGUGACUGUCUCAAAUGCAAAUGUAACAGUUUAAAAGUGUCUCCUUAUUCUAACUCCUUCAAAGGAGAGAGAGCUUUGCACCUGCUCCAGGGGAGAUGGGGAGAUUGCAAGAGAAAAGCAGGGGAGAUAUGGGGCUUCCCCCUGAGCCUCGCUGGAGUGUGGGCAGCGGGGCUGGGGGGCUGCUGGGGACCAGCACCCCAAAAAUGUAGAGAGUGGUUUUAGGAGGGAUCCUAUUUUAAUCCUUAUUGUUUAAUCGGGAGUCUCAUUUCAUGUUAUGAAAAUAGGGAUAUUUCUCAUGAUCCCUUAGUGCUGUCUCGUGUGUUCUUGCAGCAAAGUGAAAUUGUUUGAGCCGAGUGAGGGUGCAAGAACUGCUCUGUGCAUAGGGAGGGUGCAGCUGGGGAACAGCAGCGUUGUGCUUAUGGGCACUGCUGAGAUUGUCUGGAGACUUGAAAUGUCAACAUGAUCAGUACUAGCUUCUUCUUAUUUUGUUUUCCAGGCACAGUUUGAAGCUAACAGGCAUGACCCUGAGGGUGAGAAAUAGAUGGUGUUUGUUAAGACAAUCUCAUCUCCCCCACUGCUGUGGUUCAGGAGGGAAGCUCUCACAUGCUAUUAACUUCACAGUGAAAUUGAAAGAGUUUUGAUCCUGCUUCUACAUAAACCUUGCCCAUGCUGAGGCCACACCAGCUAAGAGCUGUUACGUGGGAUCUGACUUUUCCUCCACAUCCACUGGACAUGCAACCCACUCCAAAGACUGGGGCUGUGCACACCCUGCCCAGGUUUUCCUUUGCUGUGUCACCCCCAGUUAAUGGGGUGCAAUGUAUCAGUGCUACACAUCUCCUCAUGCACUGUUCCUUUUGCUCUAAACCUGAAUUUUACUUUUUCCUGCUGCAUUGUUUUGCGUAGGCAGCAUCUGGUCAGGUUUCUGUUGCAUCAGUGGGUUUGCUGGUAUUGGGUUUUACUCAAACAAUGUGUUCUGCCACAAAGGAGCAGGUUGGAGCAGUUUAGAGCUGUCCAGCCUGGCCACGCAGGAACCAGUGACGAAUAAAGCUCCAAUAAAUACAUUCUUCUGCCUCUCCCCUUCCUUCACACAUAUAUCAAUUGCUUUUCCAGAUUAUUGAGAAAAGAAUCUCUGUGUUUCCUGGGUGUGAAAUGUGUUGGUUCUCCCUUUGCAAGCAAUGAAGAUAAUGUUGCUGACAGAGCUGUGGCUUGGCCCAAGGCUCUGCUGCUGGAUGGGUGAUCCCAAGGCCAGCGGGAGCAGUGGAGAUAUUUGCGUCACCCCUG
ensembl:lncRNA